UCAAGACUAAUUUUUAUACGAGUAAAAAUGGACUCUCACUCUCGCCUCUGAGAUAUAGGGUUUUGAGCUACAAAAGUUUGGGUAGUCGGCCGUUCGUUUCUUCCUUCCACCGUCAAACCUCGCUGCCAUGAUCUCUGUUCAAUUCAACUACAGGGAAUAUCUCCAAUCUGUUGAACAUUCAUUAUCCACCGUAAUUUCCUUGAUUAAUGUGUAUCUCUCAAAAAACUUUCUCCAACCUCACCACUUGACCUCUCCAACCUCACCACUUGACCUGUUGUGCCCCUCAACCAAGUUAACAUUUCCAGAACCUUCUCCAAACUCAUAACUUGACUUGUUUCCACCAGAAUUUUGAGCAACAUUUUCCUCUUGGACAGGGUUUUCGUCCAUUGGAAUUUCUCUGCAAGAAUCAUUAUCAUUCACAUUCAAAUGUUCACCACCACCCACAGGCAGCAAAUCAGUAUCAGAAGAAUCAACGAACACCUGGACCCAGCAGAGUGAGGAACACAUUGACGUUGGAAGAGUGAAGUGAAGCUUGGACAUCUCAUGGUUACCCUAAGAAGGGUGGGAACUGUCAGCUCAGCUCCAGUCGGAUUUCAAUUGGGCGAAGAGGGUCAUUCCAAUUUUUUCCAACAAUUAUGUGGUCCAUCAUAAACCACAUUUUGUUGCAAAACUAUUUGGAUAUAACAAUGUCACAUGGAGUGCAGUAUAGAACAAAGGAUAAUCGGGGAGCAUAUUUCCAUGGAUAUCGCAAUGUGUACAAAAAGGAGCUAUAGCAAAUGUCUUGACGAUUGUGUCAUUCAAGAAUUGUAAUCUCAAUUAAGAGCAAGUGGUUCCCGAGAAACUCAAAUGUCUCUAACUCGACAUAAAGUUUAGACCAUGUUUAUCUACAAAGUUCGGAUUCGCAUCAAUUUUCAUUUUACAAUUAUAUUUACAUGUGGUUUCCUUGAUUAUGUUACCGUCUUGACAAAAGUAGAGAUCACUUAUUUUAUGUAUUUAAGAUUAACUUUUUUGUUAUGCAAUAGAACUUGGUUGAAUGUUAUUCAUUAUUACAAGAGAAA